rnacentral:rRNA from 1 species
AUGUCUAGCGCCGGUGAUCCCGGCGGCGGGAUCGCAGGGCCUGGGCGCGCGGCGCGGCUGCCGCGGUGGACGCGGCAGGAGAUACUGGUCCUCAUCGAGGGGAAGCGGGUGGUGGAGGUACGCGGGCGCGGCAGGGGCAGGGGAGCAGCGGGCGGAGCGGCCGCGGAGCCGACCAAGUGGGCGGCUGUGGCGGAGUACUGCCGGCGGCACGGCGUGGAGCGGGGCCCCGUGCAGUGCCGGAAGCGGUGGAGCAACCUCGCCGGCGACUACAAGAAGAUCAGGGAGUGGGAGCGCUCGCUGCCGUCCUUGGCGGGGAAGGAGGUGUCCUUCUGGGCCAUGCGGAACGACGCGCGGCGGGAGAGGAGGCUCCCGGGCUUCUUCGACCGCGAGGUGUACGACAUAAUCGAGGGCCGUGGCAGCGGCGGCGGCGGCAUCCGCGACAGUGGCAGUAAUGCGGCCGCGGUGCUUGCGGAGGUUGGGGAGGAGGAGGGCAAGGAGAAGGUGGUGUUCGACAGUGGCCGCGCGUCCGUGGCCGGGGACGACGGGCUGUUUUCGUCCUCAUCGUCGUCUGAGGAAGAGGACGAGGAAACGUCCACGCCUGCGCCUGCGCCUGCGCCUCCGCCGGUGCCGGUGCCGGUUCUGCCGACGGCUCCAUAUCCGUCUCCAUCUCAGCCGCCCGCGGUGGUGGCCGUGCCCGUGCCCGUGCCUGUACCCGAGAAGAAGACCGAGGCACCUACGCAAGGGAGCUCAGAGCAAGCAGGGACAUCCAAAGGCAAGCAACAAGAAGAAAUUAGAAUUACCGAUGAGCCGCCACCACCGCAGGGUGGGCAGAAGAGGCAGCGCAGCGAUGAUGCCCCAGGAGAAACCGCUGACCUGCAGGGCAAGCUUGUUGAGAUUCUAGACCGGAGCAGCCGGAUGGUGGCGGCACAGCUGGAGGCGCAGAACAUCAACUGCCAACUGGAUAGGGAGCAGAGGAAGGACCAAGUGAGCAGCUUGCUAGGUGUGCUUGGCAAGGUGGCUGAUGCCCUCUACAGAAUUGCUGACAAGCUGUAG